GACGAACGCUGGCGGCGUGCUUAACACAUGCAAGUCGAACGGAAAGGCCCUGCUUUUGUGGGGUGCUCGAGUGGCGAACGGGUGAGUAACACGUGAGUAACCUGCCCUUGACUUUGGGAUAACUUCAGGAAACUGGGGCUAAUACCGGAUAGGAGCUCCUGCUGCAUGGGGGGGGUUGGAAAGUUUCGGCGGUUGGGGAUGGACUCGCGGCUUAUCAGCUUGUUGGGGGGGUAGUGGCUUACCAAGGCUUUGACGGGUAGCCGGCCUGAGAGGGUGACCGGCCACAUUGGGACUGCGAUACGGACCAGACUCCUACGGGCGGCAGCAGUGGGGAAUAUUGCACAAUGGGCGGAAGCCUGAUGCAGCAACGCCGCGUGCGGGAUGACGGCCUUCGGGUUGUAAACCGCUUUCGCCUGUGACGAAGCGUGAGUGACGGUAAUGGGUAAAGAAGCACCGGCUAACUACGUG
rnacentral:rRNA from 1 species